GAACAGGACCCAGAGUAACCCUGCAUGUGCUCGGGCUCCUAGAGUGGGGCUGAGCAGCUUUCUGUCCCACUGAGCCUCCCUUUCCAGGUUGGGGCAGGCAAGUGGAUUCGACAGGCUGCCAGAAGACUGCAAGGUCAUUGGGAGUUUUAAUCUGUGACUGUGUCAUGAAGGACAUUUGUACUCGAAUUCAUGGAGUGCCAUUCCUGAUGGGAGAGGAGGCCCAUGACAGUGACAGUCAUGCUAGUGAUCGCGGACACCACACCAUGCUGCCUUUGCCAGCUGGCUCCUUCAGCGAGUCCUCGCGCCAAGCCUGGGAGGUAGAGAUGCUGAUCGCGUGGACAGCACCACAUUAUUGGGUAAUGCAUGCCAGGACUGUGCAAAGAGGAAGUUAGAAGAGAAUGGAAUUGAAGUUUCCAAAAAACGCACACAAUCAGAUACUGGUAUUGUGUCUGUUCUUUUUGUGGGGAGCUGCCUCAGGUCUCUCUUGCUGGCAGGCAUCUUCAGGGACCGUGCUGCGCUUUAAUGCCCCGGGCCGUAUGGUGGGAGGACGGUGCAUACGUUCUGUGAGGGCCAGAGAGCACAGGAGGCCGACUUAGCGGAGACCCUGACCUCUCACCCCAACCCAAUUCCACCUGCCCAGAGCUACUGGUACCUCUUUAGAAAAAUGUUACGGAGAAAACAUACACUAAGAAGGUGCAGCGGGCAGAAGGUGUUCUCUCCAAAAAGAAAAGUUAAAAAGAUGAAUAAAAAGCGCACAAGUUACAUAAGGUCAGCUCAGUGCAUUUUUGCAAAGUGAACGCUCCCAUCUAAUCACACGCAGUUGAGGAAGCAGCAUUGCCAGGACACCCCUUGUCACUGUCCAGCCUCCUCCAGCCCCCAAGGGUGACCACUAGCCUGAUGCAUGUCACCUGAGUCUCUGGAGAAAAGCACUUUAACUCAUUUGAGCUUUGU
rnacentral:lncRNA from 1 species